rnacentral:rRNA from 1 species
GACGAACGCUGGCGGCGUGCUUAAUACAUGCAAGUCGAACGGACAGGCCCUGCUCUUGUGGGGGUCUCGAGUGGGGAACGCGGGUGUAACACGUGUGUAAACUCUCCUUGCCAUUGGGGUAACUUUAGGGAACCGGGGCUAAUACAGGAUAGAAGCUCCUGCAGCACGGUGGCGUCUGGAAAAUUGCGGCGGUUGGGGUUGUACUUGCGGCGUAGUAGCUGGGUGGUGGGGUAGUGGCUUACCAAGGCUUUGACGGGGAGCCGGCCUGAGAGGGUGACCGGCCCCAGUGGGACUGAGGUACCGGCCAGACGCCUACGGGAGGCAUAAGUGGGGAACAGUGCACACGAGGCGGCAGCCUGGUGGAGCAACGCCGCGUGCGGGAUGACGGCCGUCGGGUUGUAAACCGCUUUCGCCGGUGACGAAGCGUGAGUGACGGUAAUGGGUAAAGAAGCACCGGCUAACUACGUG